rnacentral:rRNA from 1 species
ACUCAAAUGAAUUGACGGGGGCCCGCACAAGCGGUGGAGCAUGUGGUUCAAUUCGACGCAACGCGAAGAACCUUACCCAGGCUUGAACAGCGAGUGACCACUCCUGAAAAGGAGCUUCCGCAAGGACACUCGUAGAGGUGCUGCAUGGCUGUCGUCAGCUCGUGUCGUGAGAUGUUGGGUUAAGUCCCGCAACGAGCGCAACCCUUGUUUGCUGUUGCCAUCAGGUUAUGCUGGGCACUCUGCAAAGACUGCCGGUGAUAAACCGGAGGAAGGUGGGGAUGACGUCAAGUCAGCAUGGCCUUUAUGUCUGGGGCUACACACGUGCUACAAUGGCCGGUACAAACCGUUGCAAACUCGCGAGGGUGAGCUAAUCGGAGAAAGCCGGUCUCAGUUCGGAUCGUAGGCUGCAACUCGCCUGCGUGAAGUUGGAAUCGCUAGUAAUCGCGGAUCAGCACGCCGCGGUGAAUACGUUCCCGGGCCUUGUACACACCGCCCGU